rnacentral:rRNA from 1 species
GACGAACCGUGCGACCGUUGUUCGGAAUCACUGGGCUUAAAGGGCGCGUAGGCGGGCGGGCAAGUCGGAGGUGAAAGCCCCCAGCUCAACUGGGGAAGUGCCCUCGAUACUGCCGGCCUGGAGGGAGGUAGGGGCGUGCGGAACUUCCGGUGGAGCGGUGAAAUGCGUAGAGAUCCGGAAGAACACCAGUGGCGAAGGCGGCCCGCUGGGCAGUGGCUGACGCUGAAGCGCGACAGCGUGGGGAGCAAACAGG